GGGUUUGGGGUGAACAUCAGCGAGCUGCCCGACGAGAUCGACAUCUCCUCCUACAUCGAGCAGACCCGAUAAGGACCCCCCAGACCCCGCCGCCGCCGGGACCCCCCCCGGGACCACCGACCCCCAAAAGUUCCCCCCAAACCCGGCCCGGCCGCGGGGGGUUGGGCCGCCCCCCCCUCCCCCGGGGUUUUGUAGAAAAAUGGCCUGAAAAGACAAAAAAAAAAAGGAAAAAAAAGGAAAAAAAAAAAAGCGAAGUUUCCCCCUGUGUAGCAGCCGGGGGGAGGGGCUUGGGGACCCCCCCGACCCCCCGGGACCCCCCCCGACCCCCCCCCGGCUGUAAAAUUUCUGGUUUUUUUUGGUAAUAAAGUUUUGCCAAAACGGC